UUUUUUAAAUUUUAUGUUUAUGCAAGAGCAUAUAAGCUCGGGACAAAUACUUCAUGUCUGUACUUUCAUUAUUUCUUUGAUAAAGGGUGAUUUUAUUAGCUCAAAAAAUGGAUUGUUCAUCCUCAAACUUGAUUUUUUUUCUUUUGUGCAGCCCAAGAUUGAAGUAUUUUAUCCCUUGUAUAUAUGUGUAUUUUUUCAGAUUUUUUAAAACAUAAUAGUUUGAAUUUUAUACUUUCUUAAAAUUAAGGCCUCCUUGAAGCUAUGCCCUAUUCCUAUUACUGUAACUCGCCUUAUAUCUUACCUACUAUUAAAGGGAAUAUGUAUUCUUGGUUUGUUUAGUCUUUUUCGUUUGAUUUAAUGUUCGCUCGUGUUUGGUGUUUGGUUUAAUGUUGGCUCAUACACAUGCUAAGCGAUCUGGGCCAAAUACCUAUGGGUUGAUAAGUCUUUUAUGGGCUUUCAUAGAGACCGCAAAAAAAUAUUUGGAUGAAAAUAACUCAAUAUUGUGGGAAUUUAUAACAGGACCUCUUGUUGAUGUAACAACCAACGACCUAUGCGUCAUUCACAUUUACUAAUCCCAACUCGCUCUAAAUAUACGAAUGGCAAUCCUUAUAUUUAGGACGAGCUAAUUAAGCAAAUGAACUAAUUAAAAAAAGGAUUAUAGGCUUAAAUAAAAUAUUUAAACAGAUGUGGCUAAUCAAAGAAAAGAUUAUGGAUAAACCGGUGUAAUAAUUAAAAGAAAGGUAGGUCUUAAUAAAUAAAAUAUUAAAAUAUAUAUGGCUAAUUAAAGAAAAGACUUGAGAUAAAAUGGUAGGAUAAUUAAAAAUAAUAAUUUGGAAGUUUUAAUGUGUUGUGGCUACUAAAUUUGAAAAGGAAGGAUUUGAUUCCCAACUAAAACAGAUAAGGAUGUCAUGGUAACUAAAAAAGGAUUAUACUUAAAUAAAAUCAAUAAAAGAUUAUGACCGGCAAAGAAAAUAUAACAUGGCUAAAUUGUAUCGUAUUUUUUAAUAUUCAUUUUGUAGAUUUUAAUAUUUAUUUUGUAGAAGGAUGAUGCGUUGCGGUAUGUUUUCCAUAAUGAAUCAUGUGCUGUGAGACACUGUGCUUGCACAACACAUAUUGCAACUGCUUAAAAAAGAAAAAGUUUGUCUAGGACACAUCUAGAUGUGAGAUAGAUGUGAGAUAGUUAUACUUGCACAACACAUAUCGCAACUGCUCAAAAAGAAAAAAUCUGUCUAGAACACAUCUGUGAGAGAUAGUUAUGUUACAUUUAAGCUCAUGUCCACUCUGUUUGUGGUCUAUUUUUUUCUUUUUUUAUUGCUGCAUUAUAUAGAGAGUUUAGAGGUGACAUUCUUAAAAAGCUAGAUGUGAAUUAGACAAACUGAAAAAGAAAAUCUUGGACGGGAAGGAAACGGUAUUGGUUCUGUAAGCUGCAAGGGUGGAUGAAUCGAACAGCACCAAAUCCUAGAUAUUUCAAAUUCACCAUUGAUUCCAAGCCAGAUCUCCCGAUUCGCAUCAGAGAAGUAGUUGUAGCUUACAGGUCAUGUCACAGUAUUUGCGACAUCUAUCACACCGAUGAAAGAGUGCGAACCAACCAGACAAACGUACUUACAAACUAGGCCAUUUCACAGUACUGCAACAUCUAUCACACGGAUAAAAAGGAUAACAUUUUGUAAAAAAAAAAGAAGAUAAAAAGGAUAACAUAAAAAAAACUUAAAUACUAUCCCUUGAUUGUGCACACGGCGAUUCCUCGAGUCUUUAUUCUUCACUACUCUGUACCCGAGGCCGAGGCAAGCUAGGCUCAGCUCAGUGGUGGCCGCCGGGGAGCUUCUCCUUGAUCUUCUCCAUCAUGCCUUUCUUCUCGUGGGUGCCCUCAGUGGCGCCGUGCGUCCCCGCGGUGCCGGUGGUGCCAGUACCAUAGCCGCCGGUGCCAGUGGUACCAGUGGUGCCAGGUCCGUAGCCGCCGGUAGCCGUGGUGUGCGGCUGGGUGUCCUUGUGCCCGCCAGGGAGCUUCUGCUUGAUCUUCUCCAUGACGCCCUUCUUCUCAUGCGUCCCCUCAGUGGCUCCGUAGGCCCCGCCAGUGCCGGUGGUCCCCGUGUACCCUGGCCCACCAGUGCCAGUCGUCCCCGUGUACCCUGGCCCGUAGCCGCCGGCGGCCGUGGUCUGCUCCUUGUUACCGCCGGGGAGCUUCUCUUUGAUCUUCUGCUUCAUGCCUUUCUUCCUCCUACCGCCCAUCCCGUCGUCCUCGGAGGAUGACUGCACAAUCGACGAGAGAAAACAAGUGAGCAC
rnacentral:lncRNA from 1 species